GUACUACAUUAUCGACAUCGUUGACAGUCAGGAGGUGUUUACGUAUCGAACGUGUUUAAUUUAUGAUACAGAGUUAUCUGAACGUUCGAGUUCGAGUUUGUAGUUUUGAUUUGUGCGGCUUAAUAAAAACGAAGUAUAAAGCAGAUAAUCUUCCGCUAGAGGAAUAAGAUCCGGCUGUUCUAAAUUACAGAUUGCCGACUAUCAUACUAUCGGACAUGCAACCAGUGUGUCCGCUCUAUUCGCUAUGGACCAGUCAUUGUUGGCAUUGAGAAAAUCCCUGCUCUGCAACCGCCGUCCUGUAGCAGCAGAUGGCCCUAUUGUGUCAAAUUUUGCAGCAAGGUUCUGUCGCAAUUACGAGUUCAGCAACCGGAACCAACAUGUUACCGUGAAAAUCUACAUAAGUGCAGAUGAACAAUGACAACAAGAUACAGCAAACGAGGAAGAGCCAGAAUGAGUUUCGGCAGGACCUACCUCUCGCCUGGACACAAUCAAACUUUGUGGAUUCGAUGAAGAUACGGCGUUGAUUGAGCACAAAAACUAACAGACCGAUAUUUUGCGCCGAUUGCUCAUGAAAAACAACGUUGGGAAUGCUACUGAUCCACCACAAAUGCAACAACAGCAACAAUCAACCCAACAGCCGCACUAUCCAUCCCAACCCGUCUGCAGGAGCAACUACCCUCCGUCACGCAAAAAUUGUAUCAAGAGAAACGUGGUGGUCCCAUGAGCGCUAGAAGUUCUUAGAAAGCAUCGAAUUCUACGAAUCAAUUCCUACAUGUUACGAGAGAACGCCCAUUCCAAUGCACACAGGCUUCAAUAGGAAACCACCGCCAGCUUCAGUUUCACCAACAGCAGGGACAGGUCUGCUCAGUGGUGGAAGCCACGAUGGUGAUGACAUAAUAGGUUCGCUUGAGGAGGAGACAUCGCACUGUAGGAUCAGCUCGAGCGGAAGAAGCUGUCUAAUAAGAAUAAUGUCGACAUCCAGAAGGUGAUUUGACACUUGAUAGUGCCAGGUCCGAUGCAAAUAUGCGAACGCUAGGAAAUAUCGAAAUUUACAGAGAAUACAAGGAAUCACUGCGUCAGCGCAAUCAGGUCGAUAUCUACCGACCCAAAGAGCAGCAAACCUAUACACGUAGCCCUAUUCCAAAAGUAAUAAAGUUUCGAUAAAACUCUUAAAUAGUUUUGAGAGACCGACCGUACAUGACUAUUCGAAUCGAACUAAUGAGAUGUUGUAUGAAUUUUGUAGUAAACUGGAGUUUCUUUAUUAUCACACAAAUAUAAAAUUUAGUUUCGCGA